UGUACAAUCAUGUCCAAAAUAUGCCACCUUCAGGCAGCUGGGUUGGACAUAAUACAUUGUGCAACCACAACAAACUACCUCUCUGAUUUAAGUUAAAUGUUGAAGCUGUCAAGUUCAAAAAUGUUUUCCACAGAUAUAACACGUUGAAUUUAAGUGUAUGAUAAUACAUGUGGUCUCUUUGAAACAGACAGAUUUAAUUUCGUGAUCAUUUAUACUUCAUUCAGACGUUGCUACCCGCUUAUCUUUGUCCAUUCCGGCGUCCUACAUUAGAACUUCCGGUUUUCACGUGAUGUUUGUAAACUUUGAGGGCCUAUCUGUGACUCAUGUACUGUGUUGAAAUACUAAGUGCACGUUUAAGUAUGCGGUUGAUUUUAUAAUGGAUAUAUUUUCGUAAGGUUGCCAACGUUGGCGCUUUAGACCUUUAUAAAUUAUCUUUACCAACGUUAGUAAAAUGGGAGAAGAUGGAAGUGGUUCGCCAUUGCUUCUGUUGAUAAUGGCGGUGGUCGCCCACCUGGCUCUUAUUGCUAUUGUUGUGUACUACGCGUGUUGUAGGAACGGGUGCACGUGCAAAAUAACUAUUCAAGACCAUGCAGAGUCGUCGACGUCACCGGUUGUAUCACUUUCAGACGGAGACAAUUUGGUGGAAAGAGGACCCGUAUCAAACUGGUGGCAGACGACGCUGUUAACUCGCGUGCGCGCGCAUCUAACGCGCUCUCGGAAUUCAACGGUAGAUUCAGACGACGCGGAAUCUCAUCUGCCGCCGCCGUAUGGUGACGUAAUGACAUUUUCGGCGUUAGUGGAUGGCCAUGACAACGACGGUGCGGACUUACCGAGCUACAACGAGUGUAUAGAACGUGAGGUGAGAUGGCAACGUAACCCACACACGGGAACAUACGAACGCGAAAAGCCGCCAAAAUACGAGGAGGUCGUUAAUCAUUGACGUCGCAUACGUCAGAAGCAGUGCGCAAUAAUUCUUAAUUAAACUAAAUUGGGAAUAAAUACUUGAUUGCAAAGAUCUAUUUAUAUCAUAAAUAAACGAAUGUUCUAUGUUUACCCCGAUUCCGUUUGACGAGGUGUGAAACAACAUCAUUGAAAUGAUAUCAUCAGAUUACAGAUAUAUACUUGUAGGUAGGCCUACACAUUCAUCAAUGUUGUAAGACACAAUAUAAAGUCUACGCAUGCUACGUAUUGCAAUUGCUAAGAGAUAUUGUCACACUGUGCUAUUGUAUACAAGAACGUCUUUCAUAUUUGAGCCUUGUUCUGAGAAAAAUGGGCUUAAUACAUGUGCGUAAAGUGUCAUCCCAGAUUAGCCUAAUCAGGGACGACACUUUCCGCCUAAAGUUGAUUUUCGGUAAGGAGGGACUACCUUGAAACUAAAAAUACCAUAAAAGCGGAAAGUGUCGUCCCUGAUUAGCCUGUGCGGACUGCACAAGCUAAUCUGGGACCACAAUUUGCGCACAUGCAUUAAGCCCAGUUUUCUCAGAACACGACUCAUUUAAUCAAAAGUUGGUACACUUGAUAUUGCUUUACAUGUAAACAUCACCCCCAGGACACCUUAAUAGAUGUCUCGAUGUCCGUCAACUAGAGAAGAACUAAAUUGUGGUGUCUACGCAAAUCACAAUAGCACAAUAAUGGUAACAAGUUUUAUUCAGUGUUGUGUGUAUUUAUUACAACACGAGGCAAUAGAACUACUUAGUCAGUGCAUACUAGGGAAAGGGACUCUGGUCAUAUGGUUUUCUAUUGUUGUUACUGAUUAUUAUCAACUAGCCCAUGAUACAUGCAUGCUGGAAUUAGAGGACCGGUAAUAUUACCCGCUUAUUAAUAACCGCAUACUGUUAAGCUACCACGUUGAUUGUGUUUGUAUUGUUAUACAUAUGAUAUAGUUUAGAAUUGAUUCGUUCUGCUAUGGCAUCCGAUACAGUUUGUUUUAUUUGCAAUGUUAUACUGUUUAUCAAAUUUUGACAGUAACAGAGCAUUGCCAUAGGUGAAGCAAAGACCUAUAAAAUACAUGUAUUCUAUAGGUCUUUGGGUCAAGUUAGAUUGAGGCGGAAACAAACUACGCCUUCCCCACUCCACGAAAAAUGUGUUGUUUUUGUCUAAGUUCAAUUUUUUCAAUAUAUGUGAAUAAGGCUUACUUAUAGCCAAAGUCCAAUAAAAUGUAUUCUAUAGAUCUUUGCCAAGGCACAUUUUUUAUUUGAUGAAUUUGUUGAGUCAAAUUUUGUAAUUUUAUUAAGAAUGUUUUGUGUAGUUUGUCACUGUGGCUAAAUUGCUCCUUUAAAAUUAUCUGCCGGCAUUUAUAUCUAAAAAACAAUUAGAGAUACAGGGUAAGUGCAGAGUACAAGCGACAUUGCUCUGCCUUCCAUAUUGUUAGAGUUAUUUCCCUUUGUUGAUAUUUUUUAAUUUUUAUUUUUAAAAUUUUAAUUUUGCCCAGGGCAUAUCUUGAAAACUAUGAGUCAACAACAUGAAAUUUCAUAAGUGGAUUGAUGUCAUCAAAGGGUAGUGCAAUAGACAAGAACCAUAACUCCUGCUUUUAUGAUUGCACAUGCACAGUUAUUGCCCUUUGUUAAUUUGUAUACUUGCAUGUUCAUCAAUUUUGCAAAUUAUAUGAGGUACCAACAUUAAACUUAAUAGGCAGGAAGCUUGCUUUAAGUGAAAUUGUAGUACACAAGAAUUGAAAAACGAUAUCCUUUACUUCCAUGAUUGCACAGUUGCACAUCUACCUUAUGUCUUUCAGGCACUACAGUGACAGUUCUAGUUUUCAUUGGAUGUAUAAUUGGUCAUGCUUGUUUGUGUAACAGUUGUUCAAACACAGACGUUUAGCUGGAAUGCCGUUAAGUUUUGAUUGUACAGAGACUAAUAUUUUCAUUGAAUCGGUACUUUAAAAAUUAAAUGAACGCAUUAAAUUCACACAGUGUCCUGUAAAUGCUAGAGAGCUAUAGCAUUUGAUGGUUGGAAUCAAAUCACUUUUGUAACAUUCUGAAAAGUAACAUUCUGAAAACAAUAUUGUUAAUUGUUGUCUCAUGCCAAUAUACAAUAUCCACAUGUCCUUUGAAUACCAAGUAAUACACUGUGAUAUACCAAAUAUGCUAAUAUGUGUUUGUGGUAGACUGCCGUUUGAGACAUGACAUUAUCUUUUGCAUUGGUGCAUCAAUCUCAUAUUAUUGUUAUCUGUAAUUUGAUGUAAAUUUAAAAUGCCUAUUAUAGUUUUGGUUAUUCAGUUCAUAAAAUGUAGAACACAUAGAUACAAAGAUCUAGAUAAAACAGCCAAAAAGUUAA